GACGAACGCUGGCGGCGUGCCUAAUACAUGCAAGUCGAGCGAACAGGCGCGGAGCUUGCUCCUCUGACGUUAGGGGCGGGCGGGAGAGUAGCACGUGGAUCCCGUCCCUGUGAGAAUGGGAUAAAUUGGGGAAAACGGCGCUAAUCGCGGAAAAUAUAUUGAUGCGCAUGGUUCAAUAGUGAACGACGGUUUUGCUGCCACUUAUAGAUGGAUCCGCGCCGCUUUAGCUGGUUGGUAAGGUAACGGACUACCAAGGCAACGAUGCGUAGCCGAGCUGAGAGGUGGAUCGCCCACCCGGGAACGGAGCCACGGCCCAGACUCCUGCGGGAGGCAGCAGAAGGGAACCUUCCGCAAUGGUCGAAAGCCUGACGGAGCAGCGCCGCGUGAGUUAUGAAGUUCUUCGGAUCGUAAAACUCUGUUUUGAGGUAAAAACAAAUUUGUAAGUAACUAUGCACUUCGUGACGGUACCUAAUCAGAAAGCCACGGCUAACUACGUG
rnacentral:rRNA from 1 species